UACCUCCAUAAUCUCGCUUUACAGUGGUACCUCCCCAAAAUCCUUAAAUCCUUCAACAAUCUUUGGCAAUGGUUUCUCCCUCAACCUAUCUCGAUUCCGUUCAUGGUUAGGAGGUACUGUUAGAAAUUGUACAGCUUUCCUCCCAUCUUCGCUCCGUACCCUUGCAUAAGCAGAACCAUCGUCAAGUACCUUUGUUUCCAUCCGUGUUGCCGUGAUAUAAGGUUGUCUUAAAAUCAACGGAUAAGACGUUGUAUCUUGAACGAAGAAAUGUUGCUCCGU
rnacentral:lncRNA from 1 species